UGGGGCUUUCUGCUGGAGGUUCCAAAUGGAAUAAUGGCUGCAGCAUAAAACAUGCUUUUUACUUCUUGUCCUGUCCAAACUGGCCCAAGGGCUACUGCAUGAACUGCCUUCUGUUUCAUUUAUUCAUUUGUUUCCAAGUGGUGUAUAAGGUUUGGUAGCUCACUAAAGCAGCACAGUACCCAUCAUAACAAAGGUUGUUUGCACUUCGGUGUUCAAAUGAUGACUGCCUCUCCAUCUGCCCUCCUUCAAAUAAUGUAUGUGGCAAGUAAGUGCACAAAAGCUACUGCUUUCCAACAGGAGCUUUGGUCAGCCACCCAUUUUCCUCCUCUGUGAGGAGAAAAGGAGUGUCUGAGUCUUACUACACCUGCCGAUUUUGGUUGCCUUUUGAUGAUGCAAUGUACUGGCAGGUAGGUCCAGGCUCCUCCCGCAGUCUGACCCUAUGUCCUGUGUAAAGCAUACCUAGAUGCAGGCUCUGUCAGUAGAAUGAGCUGUCCCUGCCAGCGGUGUUGCUUGUCCUAAUAUCUGCUCCCAUUGUUUUUUUACAGACAUGUGAGCCAAGUGGUGGACCUUUGGAUCUAAGGGCUGGCUGUACAGGGAGCGCUCAUGGAUAAGUUGGUGUCUGAUGCCCACAAACUAAGAAAGUGGAUGAUACCUGUUCAGCAGCACCAUCAUGACACUUGGAGUUGCGCUGCAUGGGGAGGGUUUCUGAGACACCCUUCUAGAACAUGAUUGAAAUAGGACUAUGGAGCCCAUAGAAGUAUUCCAGGAGGUGAGCACAUGCAUUUAAAUCAGACUUUUCCCUUUGAUAACUUAAAUUCCAAAAAAGCUGUGGAUGUCCUAUCUCUAGAGAUGUUCAGGUUGGAUUAGGAAAAAUUUCUUCUCUGAAAGAGUGGUCAGGCACUGGAAUGGGCUGCCCAGGGAGGUGGCGGAGUCACUGUCCCUGAAGGUGUGCAAAAACAUUUAGAAGUUCUAUGGGAUGAGGUUUAGUGAGGAAGUACUGGCAGUUGGACUGCAUGAUGUCGGAGAUCUUUUCCAACCUUGGUGAUUCUACGAUUCUUUGAUUCCAAGGUCAGACAGGACAGGCCCUGGGAAGCCUGAUCUGGUGGGUGGAAGCCUUGCCUAUUGCAGGAUGUUGGAACUGAAUGGGCUUUAAGGUGCCUUCCAACCCAAGCCAUUCCAUGAUUCUGUGUUGAUUGAAUAACUAGCCAAAGCACUAGGAGUUACCUAGCUUUGUACUAGUAAAGAAAGCUCAUGGAUUUUUGAGGAAUUUUCUCCAAUUCUCUCUUUAAGAACAUGUCAGAACUCCUUUGUCUACUAUUAUUAACCAGGGUUUCUGUAUUCUGCUUUGGAAUAACUUAAUCACAUGAAAAGAAACAAGCAAACAAACACAAGUGCUAGACUUGUCUGAUUUUAAAGUGAUGUUUGACAGAAAUUACUAAUUGAUGUUCCUUAAUUAUAGGACAUCCACAAGCAGCUGUGAUUUCUCUCAAGAUGUAUUAUUAGAAAAUUUGCAACCACUUGCUUUUUUUUUUUUUUUUUUUUUUUUUUAAGUUUCUGAAUAACAGCAAGGUGUCAGCUAUUCAAGCUCUGUAGUUGGUAAGUCAUAUGGUUCCCAGCCUCCAUCUACCUGAGUCUCCUCGCAG
rnacentral:lncRNA from 1 species